rnacentral:rRNA from 1 species
CGGUGACCACAUCUGAAAGGCCACACCCGUUCCCAUUCCGAACACGGAAGUUAAGCUUUCAGAGCCGAUGGUAGUGCCCAACCGUGCGAGAGUAGGUUGUUGCCGGAUU